rnacentral:lncRNA from 1 species
AGAUGAGGUGUCCUCUUAUAAGUAAGAAAGCAGAUUGGCAAUUUAUUGAAAUAUAAUCGAAUUUUUGCGGAAAUGACGGAUUUUGCCGCGCAGGGACGGGUCAAGGAGGUUAUUUCUCUAAUUAUUUUGCUGUUGGGAAGUGAAGGGGUAAGUUUUUGGAGUGGGGAUUAUUCGGAACCACAGCCAAAAUGUUAUCGAAAGGGAAUAAAUCCUUCUUCUGACAAAAAUAAUUUCGUCAGAAAAUGGCAUUUAGGCUUAUUCAAGAUGGUGACUGACCGAAUUUGUUUACCUCAAAAAAAGUCUAGUGCGUGUUCGCCAAUGCAACACAAUCAAACAAAG